rnacentral:rRNA from 1 species
UACGGAGGAUGCGAGCGUUAUCCGGAUUUAUUGGGUUUAAAGGGUGCGUAGGCGGAUUAAUAAGUCAGUGGUGAAAACCUUCAGCUUAACUGGAGACUUGCCAUUGAUACUGUUAGUCUUGAGUAUGGUUAAGGUAGGCGGAAUGUGUAAUGUAGCGGUGAAAUGCUUAGAUAUUACACAGAACACCGAUUGCGAAGGCAGCUUACUGAGCCAUAACUGACGCUGAUGCACGAAAGCGUGGGGAGCGAACAGG